rnacentral:rRNA from 1 species
UGGGGAAUAUUGCGCAAUGGAGGCAACUCUGACGCAGCCAUGCCGCGUGUGUGAAGAAGGCCCUCGGGUUGUAAAGCACUUUCAAUUGGGAGAAAAAGCUUGUCGUUAAUAGCGGCAAGCCUUGAUGUUACCUUUAGAAGAAGCACCGGCUAACUCCGUGCCAGCAGCCGCGGUAAUACGGAGGGUGCGAGCGUUAAUCGGAAUUACUGGGCGUAAAGCGCGCGUAGGCGGUUGCUUAAGUCGGAUGUGAAAGCCCCAGGGCUCAACCUGGGAACUGCAUUCGAUACUGGGCGACUAGAGUACGAGAGAGGGAGGUAGAAUUCCACGUGUAGCGGUGAAAUGCGUAGAUAUGUGGAGGAAUACCGGUGGCGAAGGCGGCCUCCUGGCUCGAUACUGACGCUGAGGUGCGAAAA